AUGGGGAGUUCGGUUUUGACUGCGAGAGCGAGUGGUAACGGACGUCGUCAAAUGAAGUACUAGUGGAAGACACCAAUUAUGAUCGCGGUGCCCGCCCCUGCGUGCCGUGUGUGGCCAUCUAGUGUGUUUGUGCCCGCCAUCAUGCGACGUGACAUCACCGUGACGGCUCGUGCCAGGCCGGCGGGGGGCAAGGCCCCGGGACCGGAGCAGCUGGCGGGGACGCCCUGUGGCUGCUGCUCUGCGACUGUCGCGACAGCGGAGAGCUGGCACUGCACUUGUCCGUGGUCCUGAGCACAAUCAAGUCUGAAGGAUGCAAAUAUAACGAAAAGGGGCCGGGUUGCAGCGGACCCUGGUGGUGGCGAUGGGUGCAGCUCCGCCCGAGCCCCGGCGAGAUGAGAGUUGGUCGUCGGAGCAAGCGGAGGACGCGUACUAUUGCCACGAGCUCCUGGAAAAUAAAAACAAGUUGAUGUGAAGCACGUUCGCAGUCUCCCAGAGACGAGGAGUAAGGCAGUCACUCUUCGUUCCAGGAAGGUUUUUUUUUUUAUUUUCCUCUUUAUUCUUGGAAAUGUUUCCUAAACAAAUUAAUUUUCUCUUCCGCCUUUAGAUUAGUUUUUUUUAGUUGUAAAUUACAGUAUGAUAUUUUUUUUUUAAAAUUUGUGGUGAAGCAAUGCAGUUGAAAAUGGAUCUGUUAAAAUUAUUUUUGCAAGAUGUUAUUUAUGGGAUUUUUGUGUCAACCAUGUGUUAAAUUCGUCACAUUUUGUGACUUCUAAACAACAGAGUUACUAACUUUUUAAGACACAUGCUGCAUAGUUGUGAAAACUUUGAUAAACAGUAUGUACACAAAUUCAGAGAAUUACAUAUAUGUGUGUGUGAAGUAGAUUUAUGUAUGAUGUAUAGGGAAACCUUGCUAAUCUUACUUUGAGUUAUUACUAUGACAUAUUGUUAAACUUAAUGAUUGAUACAGCCAAUUGUGUUUUCCAUGAAAGUGCCUGACAGUGUAUUCAAAAUUGCAGUCAUUAGUGAGGGGGGG